rnacentral:lncRNA from 1 species
AGUAUUUGUAGGAGGCCACCAGAGAGACAGGAUUGCAAGGUUUUAAAUAUGCUAGUGUCAUGAGGUCAUGGAUUUCCUACCUGAAACAGAUAGUGUGACUGCCCUGCUAUAGCCAUGUUUGGCCAGUGUAGGAAUUUUGAGAACAGUGAACACUUAAUACUCAGAUGGCAUUUUGCCACCCCGACAAGGACCAUACCUGCCAUUCCAUUGUAGUUCGCCUUGCCCAGAAGUUUUAAAAUUUUUCUUUCAGCCUGGGAUUUCAAGUGUACUACAGCAUCCUCUUCACCUAUACAAGCGUCUGUUGUUUUAAAAGGAAACUGAUAUAAUUUGAGCAAAUAAUUUGAAGAUGGGUAAAUAGAAGUUUGACUGAAGCUGAUGAAAAGAUGGAGUCUCCCUAUGCUACCUAGGCUG